AUUCAGAAAAGCGGAUGUCUGCCAGUUACCCAGAGGAUAACUUCAGGUUCCUGAGAAACUUACCUGUAAGCCCAUGUAGGUGGCAGAAGACAUCAAGUAAAUGUCAAAUGAAGAGCCAAUUUUGAUUGCUCAGGCAGUGCCUCUCUAGACACCAGGAUGUGUAUGUGGAAAGAAAGUAGCCCAAUGGGGCAGAGAUCCUUUUUAGACCCUUUGCUUUUCAUAACCACAGAGGUACUUAAACUUGUGUUAGAGCCUUCUUUCCUGCGUGGCAUCUCACAGUGUCGACAGUACAGUGAAAAUGAGUGAGUACAAAGAAUACACAUCUCAUCUACAGAAUAUCCC
rnacentral:lncRNA from 1 species